CAAACUAAUUUCGAUUAUAAUUUGUAUUUUUAGUUUUAAAUUUUAAUGUUUUAUUUUUUGUGAAAACUUGAAAAUUUAAGACUUUUGUGAUAUUAUUCCUUCUGAAGGGUUCUCCAAUAGGGACAAAAAUAGAUUAAAUGAUAGUGAUCCACUUAACAUAUUUUUAUUAUUAUGAUGGUUGAGUCAAGUCUUUCUUCUUCAAAGUUUUUCAAACCUACUUCGACUCCGAGCAUUUUCAUGAGAAUCCCAACCUUGAAAAACGUUUGUAAUUGCAUAAGAAAAAAUCCCAAGUCCCAAACCAUUAUCAAAGACUCAGAUACUGCGAUACCAUCAUGGUUCUCGUAAACAAUUUGGAUCAAACCGUCACCUUAUCGACAUUUUCCAAUACCACCACCAAAUCAUUGUUCCACCGAGUGAACGAUGGAGCAAAAAAAGCAUUCUACUGUGAAAUAUGCUUUUAUUUUUCUAUCAAAAUGUAUGCAAAAACGCGUUACAGAUGAUUUUGGUUGGGAAAAAGUGGUGGAUCAAUCAAUUUCAGUCAAAAACACCCACUCAAAGGAAUAUAAAUUGAAUAAGUUGCUGGUGAAAUUUACUGCAUAUAUAUAUAUAUGUAUUAAUAUAUUAUUUUAAAUAUUCCAAGUUUUAAAUUUUUUCUGAAAACUUAGAAAUUUAAGAUUUGUAUGAUAUUCUUCUUCUGAAGAGGACGAAAUUUAUUAAAUGAUAGUGAUCGUCUAAAUAUCUUCAUUUAUUGUGUUGUUUGAGUCAAGUUCGUCUCCGUCAAGGCUUAUAGUUUGUAUUUAACUAGAUACAAAUACAUUUUGAACGCAAUUUUGUUGUAAAAAAAGAAACAGCUUGAACCUUAAAAAUAUGUUCCGAUACUAUUUUCUUACCGUGAGGAAGACCGAAGCAGGCUGUCAUACAUAUUAUUUUUUAUGUUAUGACGACCAAGAUAUUAUUUCGGCAUAAAAUUUAGCCUAAUUAGAUUUCAAUGUCUUAUCUACUAAUUAUAUUUUUAUUACGUGUUUUAAUGAUUGAGCAUUAUUUUUUGCUACAUGUAUACUUUUUGUAAUGUGAAGUCUUGUCCCAAUAUUGGGCUUGGUGGUUGACACAGGUUGGGAUGAAUGCAUUAGCAGGUGUACCGGUAUAGUUUGGUGUUAUUUGCUACAAUAAUACCCAUUUUUUCUUUCCAUUGUUACCCACAUUCAUCAAAGAAUACUUGGUACUUGAAUAAAAAUUAUCUUGAAUGAUAUAACAAAUCGUUGCCUUUAUUGUAUUACACAACCUUUCAUUCAAAAGAGAAGGAAGAAAAGCCCCAAAAUUAUCUGGUCGUUAGACAAAUAAGUCUAUACCCCCAACUGCUAUUUAUCUCUUAAUUAAAAAUAUUAUAAGACUCCACAACCAUGUAAUAACUAGUGAAGUGUGGCUCAAUCAUCAAAAAUAGUUAUAAUUGCAAACAUUCGAUAAUAGUAAAUAAAAGGACACAAUGACAGAGCCAGAUUUAUCAUAAUGACUGAAGGGGCAGAAAACCAUAGAGCCCCGCACUACACUUACUACAAAAAGUGCUUAAUAGGUCCAGUGUCCCCCAAACCUCUACAGAGAAAUUGCUCAAAACAUCCAGCAUCUUUAUAAACCUACACUAUAGGGACCCUGCACGUUGUUGAUCUGGCCCUGGAGCUUGGAAUUCACUUAUUGUCGAAUACAGAAAGAACUUGACAUAAUAAUUAAAAUCUAACCCCUCUCCUUCAUCUCUAGUAAAAACUUCAGGAUACUUUUAAUAACCAAAUAAAAAAGAAAAAUAACCUGGAUCUACUAAGUCUAGGAUAACAUAUAAGUAAGUGUGAUAAUUUUGGUCAGAAUUGAAAAGCGUGCGAGGAGAAAAGAAUAAAUACCCAUGGCAUCAUGGAUUGAAUAAUAUACAUCUUCUUCUAUCAAGAACGUUAUCCUUCCUGCCUAUAUUAUUCAAUAAUAAUAUAAUAUUAGAUGGUGAUAGUCGAUAGAGAACUGAAUAAAAUGCCUUACCAGAUGAGAAAAAGAUGGCUUGUCGAAUUUGUCAUCCACACCAAAUGACGAUCAAGUUAUCAGUAAAAAGUAUUUACGAAUAUCGAAAUGGAACUCUGAAUUUUGUACUAUCUAACACUAAACAUAUCAAGAAUUAUGAUCCAUAACUCAUUAAAUGGCAA
rnacentral:lncRNA from 1 species